rnacentral:rRNA from 1 species
AAAGGUACUCAAGGGCACAAAAUGGAUGCCUAGACGUAUAUUACCGAUGAAGGACGUGGAAGACUGCGAUAAGCUUCGGGUAGCUGUCAACAAGCUAUGAUCCGGAGAUCUCCGAAUGGGGAAACCCAGCAUGAGUCAUGUCAUGUUACCUGUAUCUGAAUAAAAUAGGAUAUUUGGCGGGAACCAACUGAACUGAAACAUCUUAGUAGGUUGAGGAAAAGAAAGUAAAUAACGAUGGCGGGAGUAGUGGCGAGCGAAACCGUUAGAGCCCAAACCUUAUAUAUUUUCAUCUUUUAGAUGAAUAAGCUGACAGGCGAAUAUAUAUAACGGGGUUGUGAUAUUACACGAGACCAAGUCUUGGUCCACCACUUCGGUGGUGUCUCAAGAUUUGCGACCAGGGACUGUCAUCUUCUGGAUAAGGUAAGAAAUUAGCGUGGUUAGCAGAAUAGUUUGAAUGACUAGCCAAAGGACGUGAAAGCCGCGUAUGCGAAAACGACGCUGACCUUAUACGUGUUUUAUCGAGUAGGGCGGGGCACGAGAAACCCUGUCUGAAUCCGGCUGGACCACCAGCCAAGGCUAAAUAUAAUAUACGAUCGAUAGUGAACUAGUACAGUGAUGGAAAGGUGAAAAGAACCCCGGGAGGGGAGUGAAAUAGAUCCUGAAAUUUUGUGCCUACAAGGAGUCGGAGCCCUUCGGGGUGACGGCGUGCUUUUUGUAGAACGAUCCAGCGAGUUAAUUUCGUGCGCAAGGUUAAGUCAAUUGACGGAGCCAUAGUGAAAGCGAGCCUGAAUAGGGCGAAUAUAGUGCACGGGAUUAGACCCGAAACCGGGUGACCUAACCAUGAGCAGGCUGAAGCUGCGGUAACACGCAGUGAAGGGCCGAACCAGGGUACGCAGCAAAGUGCUUGGAUGACUUGUGGUUAGCGGUGAAAUGCCAAUCGAACUCGGAGAUAGCUGGUUCUCCUCGAAAUAGCUUUAGGGCUAGCGUCGUGUAGUAGCAUUUGGGGGUAGAGCUCUGUCAAGGACUGGGGCUGGCAACGGUACCCACCCUUAACAAACUACGAAUACCAAAUGUGUAAUCACGGCAGUUAGAACGUCGGGGCUAAGCUCGACGCUCGAAAGGGAAACAGCCCAGACCAUCGUCUAAGGUCCCUAAAUUAUCACUCAGUGGGAAACAAGGUGAGAUUUCUUAAACAGCUAGGAUGUUGGCUUAGAAGCAGCCAUUCAUUUAAAGAGUGCGUAACAGCUCACUAGUCAAGAGAUCUUGCGUGGAAAAUGUAACGGGGCUAAAGUGAUAUACCGAAGACAUGGAUGUCCCAGCAUCAAAUUUCAUAAACACACAGUAUGUGGAGUUACAAUUGACAGAGCCACCCGGCAGGGCUGGCGUCAAAAUCUUCAGAUAAAGUGUUUGUGGGAUAUGAUGCUGGGACGUGGUAGAGGAGCGUUCCUAUCAGCGGUGAAGUCAGACUGUAAGGUACUGAUGGAGCGUUAGGAAGUGAGAAUGCUGGAAUGAGUAACCAUAAGAUAGGUGAGAAUCCUAUCGGCCGUAAGAGCAAGGUUUCCUGAGCCAUGGUAAUCAUCUCAGGGUUAGUCGGGCCUAAGCCGAGGCGCAUAGCGUAGGCGAUGGACACCAGGUUAAUAUUCCUGGACCGGUUAUAUUUUGUACACUGUUCACGGCGGAGUAAUCGAAGCGGAUUCAUGGUAUGUAUCCGUCCAACCUAGCGGGAACGCGAAGGGAGUGAGAGUUGAUCUUCGGAUUAACGAUUUUGGUGAGGACGCUGGCUAGAAAAGCAGGUGUACGCGUGAAUAUAGCCGCCCGUACCGCAAACCAACACAGGUGCUCGAGUCGAGUAGACUCAGGCUUACGAGAGAACCUUCGCUAAGGAACUCGGCAAUACAGCGACCGUAACUUCGGGAUAAGGUCUGCCCCCUCUUCUUUGAAGAGGAAUUGCCGCGUACACUCAGCAAGGUGGUUAAAACGCGAUAAGUGUAAUGACUUACGCAUGAGUACGCAAUGUAUCGUUAAUCCCUCAAGAUUAUGAUACGUUCGUGAUAAAUCCUUUUUAAUCACAAAUUCUUACUGAGAUAGAGCAAAUGAUUUCAAUCAAAUGUUCUUUUGUACGCGGUGCAACUUCGUCUUUACAGAUGAGGGGGCCGCAGCAAAAGAGCCCACGGAACUGUUUACCAAAAACACAGGUCUCUGCGAACACGAAAGUGGAUGUAUAGGGGCUGACUCCUGCCCGGUGCUGGAAGGUUAAGGCGAAGGCUUCACGGUCUGAACUGAAGCCCCAGUGAACGGCGGCGGUAACUAUAACCGUCCUAAGGUAGCGAAAUUCCUUGUCAGGUAAGUUCUGACCCGCACGAAUGGAGUAAUCAUGUGGGCACUGUCUCAGCGAAGGACUCGGUGAAAGUGCAUUGGCGGUAAAGAUGCCGUCUGUCCGUACCAGGACGAGAAGACCCCAUGGAGCUUUACUACAGUUUUACAUUGAUACGAGUUUUGGCCUGUGUAGCAUAGGUGGGAGACGUUGAAGCAGAUACGCUAGUAUUUGUGGAGUCGUAAUGUGAAAUACCACCCCUGCCAAGGUUUUUAUCUAACCUGUGCCGUUAUCCGGUAUGGGAACAGUGUAUGAUGGGUAGUUUAACUGGGGCGGUUGCCUCCUAAAGAGUAGCGGAGGCGUUCAAAGGUUGGCUAGCUUCGGAUGGAAAUCGAAGUGAUAGUGUAUGCGCAAAAGCCAGCUUGACUGUGAGGAGUACAUUCCAAGCAGAGACGAAAGUCGGAGCAAGUGAACCGCUGUACGUACAAUUUUGUACAUAUAUGUGGGAAUGACAGCGAACACGGAUAAAAGUUACCCUGGGGAUAACAGGCUUAUAGCGCCCAAUAGUUCACAUAGACGGCGCUGUUUGGCACCUCGAUGUCGGCUCAUCACAUCCUGGAGGGGGAGCACCUUCCAAGGGUUCGGCUGUUCGCCGAUUAAAGUGGUACGCGAGCUGGGUU